UACGUAGGGUGCGAGCGUUGUCCGGAAUUACUGGGCGUAAAGAGCUCGUAGGCGGUUUGUCGCGUUGUUCGUGAAAACCUGAGGCUUAACCUUGGGCGUGCGGGCGAUACGGGCAGACUGGAGUACUGCAGGGGAGACUGGAAUUCCUGGUGUAGCGGUGGAAUGCGCAGAUAUCAGGAGGAACACCGGCGGCGAAGGCGGGUCUCUGGGCAGUAACUGACGCUGAGGAGCGAAAGCGUGGGGAGCGAACAGG
rnacentral:rRNA from 1 species